AGGUAGAUUCAGGCUGUCGCUCGUAAAGAGAGGAAAGUCCGGGCUUCAUAGGGGAGAGCGCAGGCUAACGACCUGACGCGGUAGCAAUACUGCGAUGGAAAGUGCCACAGAAAAGAUACCGCCGAUACUUUAUGGUGUGGGUAAGGGUGAAAAGGUGAGGUAAGAGCUCACCGCACCACUGGCGACAGGGGUGGCAGGGAAAACCCCGCUCGAAGCAAGCCCAAAUAGCAAGGAGAUGCCCCGUCUAUAACCUUGCGGGUAGGGUGCAAAGAGGUUGCUAGUAAUAGUAGUCGAAGAUAGAUGACAGCGCGAAACAGAACCCGGCUUAUGGGUCUACCUUUUU
rnacentral:RNase_P_RNA from 3 species